AACUCGCACCUGGCGCAGAUCGACUGUCACGUGACCGACCUGUACCGGGACCUCAGGGACGGGGUGAUUUUAACACGGCUAUUGGGGCUGCUGUCGGGGGAGACAAUGCCCCGUCCGACCCGCGGCCGGAUGCGGAUUCACUCAUUGGAGACCGUGGACAAACGUGGCUGCAGUUCUUAAAGAGCAGCGCGUCCCAUUCUAGAGAACGUGGGGUCACCAUGACAAAUCGUGGAUGGGAACCACAGGCUGACGCUGGGCCUCAUAUGGACCAUUAUACUCAGGUUCCAGAUCCAGGUGAUUAAGAUCAAGACUGAGGACAAUCGUGAGACGCGCUCGGCCAAAGACGCGCUGCUGCUGUGGUG
rnacentral:lncRNA from 1 species